CCAGGUCUUGACAUCCCGUUGAACCACUGUAGAGAUAUGGUUUUCCCUUCGGGGACAAACGGUGACAGGUGGUGCAUGGUUGUCAGUCAGCUCAGUGUCGUGAGAUGUUGGGUUAAGUCCCGCAACGAGCGCAACCCUUGAUCUUAGUUGCCAUCAUUUAGUUGGGCACUCUAAGGUGACUGCCGGUGACAAACCGGAGGAAGGUGGGGAUGACGUCAAAUCAUCAUGCCCACUUAUGACCUGGGCUACACACGUGCUACAAUGGACGAUACAAACGGUUGCCAACUCGCGAGAGGGAGCUAAUCCGAUAAAGUCGUUCUCAGUUCAGGAUUGUAGGCUGCAACUCGCACUACAUGAAGCCAGGAAUCGCUAGUAAUCGCGGAUCAGCAUGCCGCGGUGAAUACGUUCCCGGGCCUUGUACACACCGCCCGUCACACCACGAGAGUUUGUAACACCCGAAGUCGGUGGGGUAACCUUUUGGAGCCAGCCGCCGAAGGUGGGAUAGAUGAUUGGGGUGAAGUCGUACUGG
rnacentral:rRNA from 1 species